CUUUUUGGGGGAAGUGGCGAAAGGGGCAGUAAGGCGUGGGUAACCUACCCUGGGGUCUGGCAUAGCCGUCCUAACGGACGGGUAAUCCCAGAUGAUGUGGCAACACCAAAGGUUCACCGCCCUGGGAGGGGCCCACGUGGUAUUAGCUUGUUGGUGAGGUAAUGGCUCACCAAGGCCAAGAUGCCUAGCGGGUGUGAGAGCACGACCCGCGCCACUGGCACUGAGACACUGGCCAG
rnacentral:rRNA from 1 species